UACGUAGGGGGCAAGCGUUGUUCGGAAUUACUGGGCGUAAAGGGCGCGUAGGCGGCACGGCAAGUCAGGAGUGAAAGGCCUGGGCUCAACCUGGGAAUUGCUUUUGAAACUGCCGAGCUAGAGUGCGGAAGGGGCAACUGGAAUUCCCAGUGUAGCGGUGAAAUGCGUAGAGAUCAGGAGGAAGACCAGUGGCGAAGGCGGGUCUCUGGACAGUUCCUGACACUGAGACACGAAGGCCAGGGGAGCAAACGGG
rnacentral:rRNA from 1 species